rnacentral:rRNA from 1 species
UACGUAGGGUGCAAGCGUUGUCCGGAAUUAUUGGGCGUAAAGAGCUCGUAGGUGGUUUGUCGCGUUGUUCGUGAAAACUCACAGCUUAACUGUGGGCGUGCGGGCGAUACGGGCAGACUGGAGUACUGCAGGGGAGACUGGAAUUCCUGGUGUAGCGGUGGAAUGCGCAGAUAUCAGGAGGAACACCGGUGGCGAAGGCGGGUCUCUGGGCAGUAACUGACGCUGAGGAGCGAAAGCGUGGGGAGCGAACAGG